rnacentral:rRNA from 1 species
AUUGAACGCUGGCGGCAGGCCUAACACAUGCAAGUCGAGCGGAUGAAGGGAGCUUGCUCCUGGAUUCAGCGGCGGACGGGUGAGUAAUGCCUAGGAAUCUGCCUGGUAGUGGGGGAUAACGUCCGGAAACGGGCGCUAAUACCGCAUACGUCCUGAGGGAGAAAGUGGGGGAUCUUCGGACCUCACGCUAUCAGAUGAGCCUAGGUCGGAUUAGCUAGUUGGUGGGGUAAAGGCCUACCAAGGCGAGGAUCCGUAACUGGUCUGAGAGGCUGAUCAGUCACACUGGAACUGAGACACGGUCCAGAGUCCUACGGGAGGCAGCAGUGGGGAAUAGUGGACAGUGGGCGAAAGCCUGAUCCAGCCAUGCCGCGUGUGUGAAGAAGGUCUUCGGAUUGUAAAGCACUUUAAGUUGGGAGGAAGGGCAGUAAGUUAAUACCUUGCUGUUUUGACGUUACCAACAGAAUAAGCACCGGCUAACUUCGUG